AUGGCCGUCGGUGGCAUGAUGUUCAAGUGUUUCGGCCCGUGCAUACGGCGGCCUCACCAGCAAGGAGCUCGCCAGCAUGACCCCAAGAAGACGACGAGCCAGCUGCAGAGCGCGGCGUCGUCGGCGUCGGCGUCGUCGGGGCUGGACUUCCGGGAGGAGUACACCAGCGCGUUCCGCACCGAGUCCUACAACGACUUCUGGGCGCGGGUGCUCGACAUCACGCUCGCCCACGGCGCCGCCCUCGUGCCCAGGCCCGCCUCCGCCGCCAGCGCCGCGUCCAAGCGCCUCUCCUCCUACCGCGUCUUCGCCGAGCACCUGCUCGACCCCGACCAGGCCGCCGCCGCCGCCGCGCUCGCGUCCGCGCGCAACCGCCCGGACGUGCACGGCCUCCUCUCCGCCUACUACGACGAGACGGCCGGCGCCUCAUUCCUCUGCAGCCACCUCCUCAAGGACAUCGAGCAGAUCCGCCUCCGCUACCGCCCGCUCAAGGCCGCGCUCCGCGGCAGGCUCGUCCCCGGCGGGAGCCUCGCCGACGUCUCCGCCGCGCUCGGGAAGCCCUUCACCGCCCUGGCGGCCACGCAGGGGAGGCUCGGGGACGCGCGCCUGAGCUCCGCGGACCUCCUCAAGGGCCUCGACUCCGGCAGGAAGGCCGCGCGCCGCAGGAUCAGGACGCUCGCCCGGCUCAGGCAGGCGCUCUCGGUGUCCUUCGUCACGGUCGUCGCCGUCGUGGCCGUCGUCGGCGCCUGCGUCGGCGUGCACGUCCUGGCGGCGUUCGCGGCGUUCCCGAUGAUGUCGCCGGCGUGGCUGGGGCUCUUCAGCGGCCGGGGGGCGCGCCGGGCGCUGGUGCAGCUGGAGGCCGCGGCCAAGGGCACGUACAUCCUCAACCGGGACAUGGACACCAUCAGCCGGCUGGUGGAGCGGGUGCGCGACGAGGGGGAGUACAUGCUCGCGCUGCUGCAGCUCUGCGUGGCCGAGGAGGCCGCCGCCGGCGCCGGCGCCGGGAAGGGGAGGCUGGUGCGGGAGGUGCUCAGGCAGCUGUGCAAGAACGAGGAGAGCUUCAGGCAGCAGCUGGACGAGCUGGAGGAGCACCUCUUCCUCUGCUUCAUGACCAUCAACAAGGCCAGAAGCAUGGUCAUCAAGUUCAUGACCACCGCCGCAAGCCAGUGA
rnacentral:rRNA from 1 species